AUUGAACGCUGGCGGCAUGCCUUACACAUGCAAGUCGAACGGCAGCACGGGUGCUUGCACCUGGUGGCGAGUGGCGAACGGGUGAGUAAUACAUCGGAACAUGUCCUGUAGUGGGGGAUAGCCCGGCGAAAGCCGGAUUAAUACCGCAUACGAUCUACGGAUGAAAGCGGGGGACCUUCGGGCCUCGCGCUAUAGGGUUGGCCGAUGGCUGAUUAGCUAGUUGGUGGGGUAAAGGCCUACCAAGGCGACGAUCAGGAGCUGGUCUGAGAGGACGACCAGCCACACUGGGACUGGGCCACGGCCCAGGCUCCUACGGGAGGCAGCAGUGGGGAAUUUUGGACAAUGGGCGAAAGCCUGGUCCAGCAGUGCCGCGUGUGUGAAGAAGGCCUUCGGGUUGUAAAGCACUUUUGUCCGGAAAGAAAUCCUUGGCCCUAAUACGGUCGGGGGAUGACGGUACCGGAAGAAUAAGCACCGGCUAACUACGUG
rnacentral:rRNA from 1 species